rnacentral:rRNA from 1 species
GACGAACGCUGGCGGCGUGCCUAAUACAUGCAAGUAGAACGCACAGGAUGCACCGUAGUUUACUACACCGUAUUCUGUGAGCUGCGAACGGGUGAGUAACGCGUAGGUAACCUGCCUGGUAGCGGGGGAUAACUAUUGGAAACGAUAGCUAAUACCGCAUAAGAACAUUUACUGCAUGGUAGAUGUUUAAAAGGUGCAAAAGCAUCACUACCAGAUGGACCUGCGUUGUAUUAGCUAGUUGGUGAGGUAACGGCUCACCAAGGCAACGAUACAUAGCCGACCUGAGAGGGUGAUCGGCCACACUGGGACUGAGACACGGCCCAGACUCCUACGGGAGGCAGCAGUAGGGAAUCUUCGGCAAUGGGGGGAACCCUGACCGGGCAACGCCGCGUGAGUGAAGAAGGUUUUCGGAUCGUAAAGCUCUGUUGUUAAGGAAGAACGUGUGUGAGAGUNGAAAGUUCACACAGNGACGGUAC